rnacentral:misc_RNA from 1 species
UUUCUGUAGGUGAACCUGCAGAAGGAUCAUUAUUGAAUUGUAAAAAUGGGGAGUUUCGACUCCUCUACAUUCUUUAUUCCUUUAAACACCUGUGAAUCGUUGCUGAGUUCGCUCAGUAGCAACUUUUUUACACACACAUAAUAGUUUAGAACGUAAAAAUAUAAAAUAAAAUACAACUUUUGACAACGGAUCUCUUGGUUCUCCCAUCGAUGAAGAACGCAGC